rnacentral:misc_RNA from 1 species
UCCGAGUUGACCCCGGCAGUCUCCCAUGAGUCCCCGCCAUAACGCGCUGGCAACAUGGAACGAGGGUUGCGCUCGUUGCGGGACUUAACCCAACAUCUCACGACACGAGCUGACGACAACCAUGCACCACCUGUGAACCGGCCCCAAAGGACACCGUAUCUCUACGGCUUUUCCCUGCAUGUCAAACCCAGGUAAGGUUCUUCGCGUUGCCUCGAAUUAAGCCACAUGCUCCGCCGCUUGUGCGGGCCCCCGUCAAUUCCUUUGAGUUUUAGCCUUGCGGCCGUACUCCCCAGGCGGGGCACUUAAUGCGUUAGCUACGGCACGGAACCCGUCGAUCGAGCCCCACACCUAGUGCCCAACGUUUACGGCGUGGACUAC